UUAGUGUAUGAUCACAAUGGGAUUCAAGUUUGGGGUAAUGCUUGAAAUAUUCCUUACAAGGACUCGCUGGCUAUCCAAACGUACGCAAUCAAAAUUCUCAAGGUACCUAAUAGUCAUGUAGGUGUCUGGUCCACAUUAAGUGAGACUGUGAGGUCCACUCUCAACAAACCCGACCUUCUUAACAGCUUUCCUAGUAAUUAGGCCUCCUAGACGGAUUGGGGUAGUGGCAUGGUUACUAGCCGAGGCAUGUCUACUAAGAUGAAAGACGAUGUAUCUAGCAAUGUUCAGUUUACCGUACCCAAACACAUAAUGUCCAAUUACAACUAGUUCAUUAGUUUGGGCGUUAUGCGGCUCAUUCCUACCUAGAAAAUAAACACAUGCAAAUCUUUGCCAGAUUUUAGGUACAGGGUGAUGGAUAGAUUUGGCACUAGAAUGUUUGGCGUUAGGUACUGGUAAACCAGUCAAAACAUGAUAGAUAUAUUCCAUUUAAUAUUUUUCAUGGCAUUGGAUAGGUAAUUCAGAAUUCAAAUAAAAAAAUUUACAAAAAUCAACAAAGGUUAAAAUAAUAUUCCUAUUAUUUAACCUAAACAUCAAUUUCGGCCCAUUUUUAUUGUUCACAACAGACAAAGAGGAAAGAAAUUCACACGUUAAUUCACAAUAAGUAGGAUAGUGCAUAUCAACAAAUAUCCUCAUUCCAAUAUCGUUCAAGAAACGUUUAACAUAAUCAUAUAAACCAUAAGAUUCAAUAGUAGGGCGGUGUAACCACCGUGAAGGGAUUACCUCUCGCCCGUAGAGUUGCUCAAGCCGUUCUUUUUGCUCCCGGGUUGCAAUUCAGAUGGUUGGCCAUUGCGAAAGUUGCAAUUCCAGAUCAUAUUGUUUACUUGAACUAGAACUCCUCCCAAGAAUCGUCCUUGACCUCUUUGAUGCCAUGUUUGAAAAAUGGGUAAGUUUUUUUAAUUGGAAUUUAGAAAAUUUUGGUAUAGAAAUGUAGAGGAUGAAGAGAGGGUUGGAAAUAUGGAAGAACUCUCGUCUGUGGAGCUGUAUCAACUACACUGGUGAGCAUGAUCUUACAGAAAAUGGCCAAUAACUAUGUUAACAUUUCGUUUUCCUUUUUUUGACAUGGUUCGCGAAAUUUUUGAUGAUCGGCUUUCCAUAUGUUGCAGUCUAUUUAGGAUUUUUGUCAAAGGACAGCACCGUAUGAUGUUGACGAGUUGAAUGUGGUUCGAGAACUGUGGGCGCAAUACUUUAGAAGUAAAUAUUUAUUGAAUGCAUAACUAUUAGCUUAGGUAGAACAAAGUAAUAUUAUUAGUGUUGUUGUAUGUGUUGGAUAAAUUUAUACAAGUUUUUAUUUGUAAUGUA